UGGACUGCACUUAAUUAUUUAAGUGAAAAACAGGAUGACCAGGUUCAAUGAACCUAUAAAAGGAAUCUAUUGAAAUAAUAGCCCCUCAAUUCCAUUUGCUGGUUGAGAAUUCCUAUAAAGAAGUUGUGAUUGAUGAAAUGAAAAUAUGAAUUUCAAACACAGAGGAUGUAAUUGUUUCAUUAUUAUUUCUUCAUAUUCAAACUUUCUUCUAUGAGUUAGUUCAGGAAGCUGAGCAGCCUUUAACCAUGAAGAAAUUACGUACACUACAUUUUCAACCUUGAGUUCAUGCCAACAAACGUACUCAUCUGAAGAUCAUUAUUUUUUUAAAAACAAAAAUGACUAUAAGGAACAUUUGCACAACCAGUUAGGUACUGGUCCAAUAAAAUAGUUAAGGAGAAUGCAAGUUAGUCUGAAUGCGGUCAUCAUUAUAAUUAAAACAAAAAGUAACUCAAACGAAUCAUAGCAUACAAGUGGUGGAGACAGAGUUUUUAUCAUGGAGCUACCUAGGCUUCCAUCUACUAUACAUAAAAUAUGGUCUUGUAUAUGUAAUAUGAUUUUCCGACAAACGAAAAUUUGGAUGAAUCAUUUCACCCCUUUAGCUUUGCCCUUACUCGGUAAGCAUCGAUUUGAUGAGUUCCCCCAGUAAACUUCAUUGUUAUUGUAUCAGAUACUUAUUUUCUCUUUAAUUUCCUUAUCGAAUAAAAGGAUAUUUACGUUCUUUUAUAAUUAACAA